rnacentral:lncRNA from 1 species
UAAGAGCUGAAUUGAGCUAAGAUUAAUACGGGGUAUUACAAUAUCUCCCCCUUGGGAAUAUUUGUCCUCAUAUUAGAAUAGUUAUAUUAGGUCUACUGAGGAAACUAAGGUCAAAUACUGAGUGUGCAUGACAAGAAACAUGCUUACAUAACUGAGUCUAAAACAUGAUACAUGAACUGAAAUGGUUUCAUGAGUGCAUUAAAUUACAUGACGAUUGAUACAUAGAUGAAAUAGGGAACUAAAAAAAGUUAAUCUAUGGAAAAUCUUUACCUAAUGUUGGAUUUGGGUUUGCGGAGAAAAGAUUAGGGUACUUGGUUUGCAUAUCUGCUUUUGCUUCCCAUAUGGACCCCUCAACAGACUGAUUCCGCCCCGAAACUUUAACCAAGGGAACUUCUUUGUUCCUUAGCCUAUGGAUCUAACGAUCAAGGAUAUCAACUGGAACGUCUUCAUAAUAAAGACUAUCCUUGACAU